CGCAUCUGUGCAUGCAGCAUAUCAAUAAGCGGAGGAAAAGAAACUAACAAGGAUUCCCCUAGUAACGGCGAGUGAAGCGGGAAGAGCCCAAAUUUGAAAUCUUAAAGGGUUCCCUUUACGAAUUGUAGUUUAAAGAAGUGUUUUCUGUUGAGGUUUUGGUAAAAGUUCUUUGGAAUAGGACAUCAUAGAGGGUGAGAAUCCCGUAUUUGACCUUUACUUUCAACUUUGUGAUACACUUUCAAAGAGUCGGAUUGUUUGGGAAUGCAGUCCAAAAUGGGUGGUAAAUUUCAUCUAAAGCUAAAUAUUGGCGAGAGACCGAUAGCGAACAAGUACCGUGAGGGAAAGAUGAAAAGAACUUUGAAAAGAGAGUUAAACAGUACGUGAAAUUGUCAAAAGGGAAGCGUUUGACACCAGUGUUGUUUUUCUGAAAAUCAAUUAAAGAACUGUUUAUGCUAAGUUGUUUAGACUUUAUCAGCUAACUGUUUAGUUUUGAGCUUUUCUUUAAUGCACUUUUCAGUUAACAAGUCAACAUCAAUUUCUUUUGCUGUAAAAAAGCUUGAGGAAGGUGGCUUGAGAUUCGUCUUAAGUGUUUAUAGCCUCUUGCCUAUGCAGUCGGAGAGAUUGAGGUCUGCAGCGUAGAUCCUUCGGGGCUAAAUGCAUUUGUGCUAAGUUAUAACAUUUUAUAGACAACUUGUUGACUAUGAUUUGUCUUGUAGCUUACUCGCUUAUGUUAUUUUACCUACGCUUAGGAUGUUGAGCGCAUGUCUCUCUCU
rnacentral:rRNA from 1 species